rnacentral:rRNA from 1 species
CCCUUCGAUGUUCUGGGCCGCACGCGCGCUACACUGAUGCGUUCAGCAAGCUCCCUAGCCUUCACCGAUAGGUGUGGGUAAUCUUCUGAAAGCGCAUCGUGUUUGGGCUAGAUGAUUGCAAUUAUUCAUCUUCAACGAGGAAUACCUAGUAAACGCAAGUCAUCAGCUUGCAUUGAUUACGUCCCUGCCCUUUGUACACACCGCCCGUCGCUCCUACCGAUUGAACGUUCCGAUGAAUACCAUGGAUUGAGAGUCUGGAUGGGUUCGCCUAUUUCUGCUUCUCGAGAAGUCGAGUAAAUCUUAGCGUUUAGAGGAAGGAGAAGUCGUAACA